rnacentral:rRNA from 1 species
GACUACUGGGGUAUCUAAUCCUGUUUGCUCCCCACGCUUUCGCGCCUUAGCGUCAGUCACGAGCCAGUAAGCCGCCUUCGCCACUGGUGUUCCUCCCAAUAUCUACGCAUUUCACUGCUACACUGGGAAUUCCACUUACCUCUCUCGUACUCUAAGAAAAACAGUCUCAAGCGCAAUUCCCGGGUUGAGCCCAGGGCUUUCACGCCUGACUUGUUAAACCGCCUACGCGCUCUUUACGCCCAGUAAUUCCGAACAACGCUAGCUCCCUUCGUAUUACCGCGGCUGCUGGCACGAAGUUAGCCGGAGCUUAUUCUGUAGGUACCGUCAUCAUCGUCCCUACCAAAAGAACUUUACAACCCGAAGGCCUUCAUCAUUCACGCGGCAUGGCUGGAUCAGGGUUGCCCCCAUUGUCCAAUAUUCCCCACUGCAGCCCCCCGUAGG